UACGAAGGGGGCUAGCGUUGUUCGGAAUUACUGGGCGUAAAGGGCGCGCAGGCGGCUUGGCAAGUCGAGUGUGAAAUCCCUUGGCUUAACUAAGGAAUGGCGCUCGAAACUACCUCGCUAGAGGACGGGAGAGGGAAGUGGAACUCUCGGUGUAGGGGUGAAAUCUGUAGAUAUCGAGAGGAACACCGGUGGCGAAGGCGGCUUCCUGGCCCGUAGCUGACGCUGAGGCGCGAAAGCGUGGGGAGCAAACAGG
rnacentral:rRNA from 1 species